CGCGGCCUAUCAGCUUGUUGGUGAGGUUAUGGCUUACCAAGGCGACGACGGGUAGCCGGCCUGAGAGGGUGUCCGGCCACACUGGGACUGAGAUACGGCCCAGACUCCUACGGGAGGCAGCAGUGGGGAAUAUUGCACAAUGGGCGCAAGCCUGAUGCAGCGACGCCGCGUGAGGGAUGACGGCCUUCGGGUUGUAAACCUCUUUCAGUACAGACGAAGCGUAAGUGACGGUAUGUACAGAAGAAGCACCGGCCAACUACGUGCCAGCAGCCGCGGUAAUACGUAGGGUGCGAGCGUUGUCCGGAAUUACUGGGCGUAAAGAGCUCGUAGGUGGUUUGUCGCGUUGUUCGUGAAAACCUGAGGCUUAACCUUGGGCGUGCGGGCGAUACGGGCAGACUGGAGUACUGCAGGGGAGACUGGAAUUCCUGGUGUAGCGGUGGAAUGCGCAGAUAUCAGGAGGAACACCGGUGGCGAAGGCGGGUCUCUGGGCAGUAACUGACGCUGAGGAGCGAAAGCGUGGGGAGCGAACAGGAUUAGAUACCCUGGUAGUCCGCGCCGUAAACGGUGGGUACUAGGUGUGGGUUUCCUUCCUUGGGAUCCGUGCCGUAGCUAACGCAUUAAGUACCCCGCCUGGGGAGUACGG
rnacentral:rRNA from 1 species